rnacentral:tRNA from 1 species
GGGCCCAUAGCUCAGCGGUUAGAGCGGCUGACUCAUAAUCAGCAAGUCCCAGGUUCAAAUCCUGGUGGGCCCACCA